GCCUAGUUAGCUUAGUUGGUAGUGCGUCUGCCUCGUAAGCGCGGGCCGCGGGUUCGAUUCCCGCCCGGGGCG
rnacentral:tRNA from 1 species